UACGUGGGGUGCAAGCGUUAAUCGGAAUUACUGGGCGUAAAGCGUGCGCAGGCGGCUUUGCAAGACAGAUGUGAAAUCCCCGGGCUUAACCUGGGAACUGCAUUUGUGACUGCAUGGCUAGAGUGCGGCAGAGGGGGAUGGAAUUCCGCGUGUAGCAGUGAAAUGCGUAGAUAUGCGGAGGAAUACCGAUGGCGAAGGCAGCCCCCUGGGAUAACACUGACGCUCAUGCACGAAAGCGUGGGGAGCAAACAGG
rnacentral:rRNA from 1 species